UACGUAGGGUGCAAGCGUUAAUCGGAAUUACUGGGCGUAAAGCGUGCGUAGACGGUUACGUAAGUCGGAUGUGAAAGCCCCGGGCUCAACCUGGGAAUGGCAUUCGAGACUGUGUAGCUAGGAUGCGGAAGAGGGAAGCGGAAUUUCCGGUGUAGCGGUGAAAUGCGUAGAUAUCGGAAGGAACACCAGUGGCGAAAGCGGCUUCCUGGUCCAGCAUCGACGUUCAGGCACGAAAGCGUGGGGAGCAAACAGG
rnacentral:rRNA from 1 species